CCCAGCUUGCUUCCAUCGAUUCCGAGGAAGUUGUUCACGCUGUCAAUAGCAGUUCAUCUUCUUCAUUCCUGCCUCUCCCUCAUUCUUCAAUCUUCUUCUGCAAAACCUAGAAAAGGGUUUAAUCAAAAUCAAAAUCUCAUGCCCUUGAGUUUGUUGAUGACCUUGCACGAUGAAAGAGCUUGGGCACAGCCUUGAGUUUAGGAGGGGAAUGGAAUUCGAAGCCUUGAUUUUUGCUUGUAGAGCGGCAUGGGCGUGGAGGGGAAGAAAGAGCUCGAGCACAAUCUGGCUUCGCCGACUUGGGUUUGUCGAAUUCGAAGCCUUGAUUUUCUAUUCCGAGAUCCAUGUCGUCUUCAAGACAUGCAGAAGAACUCAGAUUUGAUGGAGAAGAAGACUGAAGAAAAAUGGUGAAUCUGGGUCUAAGACUUGGGUCUAAAUAUGGAUUUUUCAGAUUUUGCAGAAGAAGAUGGAAGAAGAACGGUCGAUAACAGUGGUGGGGGGAUGAUGUGGCAAUGGUUAAUAUAUAUAUAUAUAUAUAUAUAUAUCAUACGUAGA